UACGAAGGGGGCUAGCGUUGCUCGGAAUCACUGGGCGUAAAGGGUGCGUAGGCGGGUCUUUUAAGACAGAUGUGAAAUCCCCGGGCUCAACCUGGGAACUGCAUUUGUGACUGCAUAGCUAGAGUACGGAAGAGGCGAGUGGAAUUCCUGGUGUAGCGGUGGAAUGCGCAGAUAUCAGGAGGAACACCGAUGGCGAAGGCAGCUCGCUGGGACGGUACUGACGCUGAGACGCGAAAGCGUGGGGAGCAAACAGG
rnacentral:rRNA from 1 species